GGCUCGGUGGUGGGAAGCCCACGUCUGCAUUCCAUUAUCGGUUUCGCGAAAACAGUUCAUGCAGAAGGAGCUCGUUCGAUUCGGGUCCGAGUCA